rnacentral:rRNA from 1 species
CAAUAGCGUAUAUUAAAGUUGUUGCAGUUAAAAAGCUCGUAGUCGGAUUUUGGCAUCAUGCCGAACUGUCAGCCGAUUGGUUUGUACGGUUUGGCGGGUGCUCUCCUUCCGGAGGCUCGUUUCCUCUUUCAUUAGAGGGUUCGAUGGUUCCGGGUCUUUUACUUUGAAAAAUUAGAGUGUUCAAAGCAGGCCUAUGCUCUGAAUAGGUUAGCAUGGAAUAAUAAAAUAGGACUUUGGUUCUAUUUUGUUGGUUUCUAGGACCGAAGUAAUGAUUAAUAGGGACAGUUGGGGGCAUUAGUACUUGACUGUCAGAGGUGAAAUUCUCCGAUUUGUUAAAGACUAACUUAUGCGAAAGCAUUUGCCAAGGAUGUUUUCAUUAAUCAAGAACGAAAGUUAGGGGAUCAAAGAUGAUCAGAUACCGU